rnacentral:rRNA from 1 species
GACGAACGCUGGCGGCGUGCUUAACACAUGCAAGUCGAACGGAAAGGCCCUGCUUGCAGGGUACUCGAGUGGCGAACGGGUGAGUAACACGUGGGUGAUCUGCCCUGCACUUCGGGAUAAGCCUGGGAAACUGGGUCUAAUACCGGAUAGGAGCCAUUUUUAGUGUGAUGGUUGGAAAGUUUUUUCGGUGUAGGAUGAGCUCGCGGCCUAUCAGCUUGUUGGUGGGGUAAUGGCCUACCAAGGCGGCGACGGGUAGCCGGCCUGAGAGGGUGGACGGCCACAUUGGGACUGGGAUACGGCCCAGACUCCUACGGGGGGCAGCAGUGGGGAAUAUUGCACAAUGGGCGCAAGCCUGAUGCAGCGACGCCGCGUGGGGGAUGACGGCCUUCGGGUUGUAAACUCCUUUCGCUAGGGACGAAGCUUUUUGUGACGGUACCUAGAUAAGAAGCACCGGCUAACUACGUG